rnacentral:rRNA from 1 species
AGCCAUGCAUGUCUAAGUCCAAGCUGUGUUCACACGGCGAGACCGCGGACGGCUCAUUAAAUCAGUCGUGGUCCAAAUGGGCCAGUGCAAAUCCUACUUGGAUAACUGUGGUAAUUCCAGAGCUAAUACAUGCAACUGAUAUCCCGAAGGCGGUGUUGGGGCUUGCUUGCCUUGCGCUGCGCUGCUCUGACGGAUGCUUUUAUUAGACCAAGCCGCUGAGGACUUGAGGGUUCGCGCUCUCUUGUUUGACUCGUGUGAUGGUGACUCUGGAUAACCAAAUUCUGACAAGCGCACGUACUUCUCUUCUGAGCGAGACGGCGCUGCCACUUUCGAGUGUCUGCCUUAUCAGCUAUCAACCGUUCGUUAUGCGCGACCGAUGGCUUUGACGGGUAACGGGGAAUCAGGGUUCGAUUCCGGAGAGGCAGCCUGAGAGACGGCUACCACGUCCAAGGACGGCAGCAGGCACGCAAAUUACCCAAUCCCAGCAAAUGGGGGAGGUAGUGACGAAAUCUAACGAUGCGGGCGCCCUUUCUGGGGCCCCGCAAUCGGAAUGGGCACUUUCUAAACAACCUGUUGAGA